rfam:TPA: Bos taurus chromosome 25, whole genome shotgun sequence.
UCCCUCCUGGCUCAGAGGGUGAAGAACCUGCCUGCAGUGCAGGAGACCCAGGUUCGAUCCCUGGGUUGGGAA